GCCCGGGUGGUGGAAUUGGCAGACACAGGGGAUUUAAAAUCCCCCGGCCGCUUAAGGCUAUACCGGUUCGAGUCCGGUCCCGGGUAC
rnacentral:tRNA from 1 species